rnacentral:rRNA from 1 species
UACGUAGGGGGCCAGCGUUGUCCGGACUUACUGGGCGUAAAGCGCGCGCAGGCGGUUGAGUAUGUGCCGCGUGAAAGCGCCAUCUAAAUGUGGCGAGGUCGCGGUAGACAGCUCAACUUGAGCCUCGGAGAGGCCGGUGGAAUUCCGGGUGGAGCGGUGAAAUGCGUAGAGAUCCGGAGGAACACCAGAGGCGAAAGCGGCCGGCUGGCCGAGUGCUGACGCUGAGGCGCGAAGGCGUGGGGAGCGAACAGG